UCUUAUGGAUGAGCAUAGAAAGUGGUUUGUUGAGAUGAAAUCUAUUACUGAUGAAGAUGCUGUGAA
rnacentral:pre_miRNA from 1 species